rnacentral:snRNA from 1 species
UUGCUUGCUUCAGCAGCACGUAUACUAAAAUUGGUACAAUACAGAGAAGAUUAGCAUGGCCCCUGCACACAUUAAAAAAUCCUAUAUAUAUAU